GACGAAGGGGGCUAGCGUUGUUCGGAAUUACUGGGCGUAAAGCGCACGUAGGCGGCUUUGUAAGUUAGAGGUGAAAGCCCGGGGCUCAACUCCGGAACUGCCUUUAAGACUGCAUCGCUUGAAUCCAGGAGAGGUGAGUGGAAUUCCGAGUGUAGAGGUGAAAUUCGUAGAUAUUCGGAAGAACACCAGUGGCGAAGGGCGGCUCACUGGACUGGUAUUGACGCUGAGG
rnacentral:rRNA from 1 species